rnacentral:rRNA from 1 species
AGUUCAGAUUGUAGGCUGCAACUCGCCUACAUGAAGUCGGAAUUGCUAGUAAUCGCGGAUCAGCAUGCCGCGGUGAAUACGUUCCCGGGCCUUGUACACACCGCCCGUCACACCAUGAGAGCCGGUAAUACCCGAAGUCAGUAGUCCAACCUCGUGAGGACGCUGCCGAAGGUAGGAUUGGCGACUGGGGUGAAGUCGUAACAAGGUACC